AACCACAGGGAUUGCCUCAGUAACGGCGAGUGAAGCGGCAACGGCUCAAAUUUGAAAUCUGGCGCAAGCCCGAGUUGUAAUUUGCAGAGGAUGCUUCGGCACGCGGUCACGGCUCAAGUGCCCUGGAAAGGGACGCCGCGGAGGGUGAUAGCCCCGUCAUGGGCCGUCGACCUGCUGCCGUGUGAAGCUCCCUCGACGAGUCGAGUUGUUUGGGAAUGCAGCUCCAAAGCGGGAGGUAAAUUCCUUCCAAAGCUAAAUACCGGCCAAGGACCGAUAGCGCACAAGUAGAGUGAUCGAAAGAUGAAAAGCACUUUGGAAAGAGAGUCAAACAGUACGUGAAAUUGUUGAGAGGGAAGCGUUUGCGAUCAGACGCGUGGGGGGCCGGCUCACCCCGGCCCGCGUGGUCGGGGGCACUCCCUCCCCCCGCGAGCCAGCAUCGGCUCGGGCGGUGGCAGGAACCGGGCGGGAACGUGACUCCCUCGCGGAGUGUUACAGCCCACCCGGCAUCUUCCGACCGCCCGCCUGGGCCGAGGCAGGCGCGUCCCGUCCUGCGGGGCGCUCGGAUGCUGGCGUAAUGGUCGUAAGCGGCCCGUCUUGAAACACGGACCAAGGAGUCCAACGUCCGCGCGAGUGUGUGGGUGUCAAGCCCGCGCGCGAAAUGAAGGUGAACGAAGUGGGAAGCCGUGCCC
rnacentral:rRNA from 1 species